rnacentral:lncRNA from 1 species
CACGAAUUUAAGUGGACCGCUAUCUACUUUGCUGCAAUAAAAGACGGAGUGAGAAAUACAAAGGGUUAUAAACGUGGCAUGGGGAGCAUCCGCAGAACAUUUUAGAAGACAGAACAGAGUUUUGGAAUCAGAGAAGGAGACAAAUGAUUCCAAGGACGUUAAAAGAGAAGAAAAGCUAAUGCACACAAUUGGUGUAAAUUCUCUCCCAUUGCACCAAAACAGGAAGCAUGUCUACUAUUCCCUCUCUUUACUGUCCCAAGUUAAAUGGAACAAAAGAAAAACCUCGCCGGGGCGCGGUGGCUCACACCGGUAAUCUCAACGCUUUGGGAGGCCGAGGCGGGAGGAUCACGAGGUCAGGAGUUUGACCAGCCUGGCCAACAUAGUGAAACCCUGUCUCUACUAAAAAUACAAAAAUUAGCCAAGAGUGGUGGCACACGUCUCUAGUACCAGCUACUCGGGAGGCUGAGGCAGGAGAAUCACUUGAACCCAGGCCGAGAUCAUGCCACAGCACUCCAGCCUGGGCAACGGAGCGAGACUCUGUCUCAAAACAAAAAGAGAAAGAAAAAAAAGAAAAAUCUCUGCCAGUUACUGUGCGGCAUGACCUUGGACACUUUAUUGCUCCACUCUGAGCACCAGGGCCCUCUUAUGGAAAAUGUCUGUUUCCCCGGUAUUUGUAAGGAUAGAACAAGUGGACAAAUGGAACUCUCCUAUGCAAUGCGGUGAGAGCACACAGUCAGAGUUUGGUGAUUGUUCUCUUCUCCCUUUCUAUUUAUGGCUCCUAGCCCUCACUGCUUCACUCCUUGAUAUUCAUAAUGUCUUGACUUUAUCAGCACAAUGAUGUGCUUUGGGUUAGGAGAUAAAAAGGUUGAGACAUAUUCCAGGCUAUGCUGCUCACUAUGAAUGGUUCAGUUUUGGAUCUGAGUUUGCUGGUAUAUUUGUUUCCCACAUUUACACUGUUGAUACAACUGUGAAUUGAAAAAAACCUCUACCAUGAUAUUCUGCAUUUAAGAAAUCACCUUUG